UCCAGCUAUUUGGCCCAACCCAUAUUAGAUUGUGUUAUAAAGACAUGGUAAAUUACAUCACGAAGGGAAGAGCAGAGGAAACAUAAUAUUCCUUCAAGACCCAUCAGCUCAGAUGUUAGCAGAACACCCCUAAGGAGGAAAACAAGAAAUUUUGGGUUUGAACUUGGUACUUCCCAGCAGCCCUGGGAGUGGGGUCAGAAGCCCUGCUGGGGGCCAAAGAACUCUGAGGAUCAAAGAUGUUGAGCAUCACCUUAGAGGCCAAAGAUCAGAACAGUGGAGGUGGCCUUUGAAGCCCAACCUGUCUUUCACCAGAGAGUGAGAACGGCCUCUAUUUCCAGGAAGCUCACUGCAGCAAUAAUCAUGAUGCUCUGAGCCUGACAAGCAGGUUACUUAUGAGAAACAAGCUUGAAAUCUCUGCACCUGGACCAGCUUCCAGAGGCUUUUGUCCUGACCAGCUGGCUUUGGGGAAGUAAAGGAAACCAGAGAAGAAGAGGCUGAAAGAAUUGGUUUCCACCGUGACCUUUGAACCCUCGGGCGAGUUGUCAGCCUCACUGAGGAUGAGUGUACUCCAUAUCAAGUGAGGUCACUUUACUCGCAAGCUUGUUGUGAGGACUGAAUGAAACCUUUUCUUUUUUCUUGGAGUUUCAGAGCAACGUCCCUGAGCCCAGCCCCAC
rnacentral:lncRNA from 1 species